UAUGGCCAUGGUGAAUUUUCUAAAUAUGUGAAAGUUUUUGUACAAUUAAAUUGAUUUUUAGUUAGUUUCAAGUUUUUUUUCCUAUCUGUGUAUUGCCACCCCACCCUAGUGCACAAUUUUCUCUCUGCGUUGGGUUGUUUUCUUCUAUUUGGUCGGGCUUCUGAUUCUUUAACAUUUUCCUCAUUUCCAUUCUCAAUUUUAUCAAGGAUUUACUAUACUCAACGACUUUUAAAGACAGUUACAUAUAUGCUGUUUAUGUCUUUCCUUUGCGGAAGCAACGUAAAGAAAGAGAUGGACAGCAAAUUUUAAUGUGAUUC
rnacentral:lncRNA from 1 species